UGGGGAAUAUUGGACAAUGGGCGAAAGCCUGAUCCAGCCAUGCCGCGUGUGUGAAGAAGGUCUUCGGAUUGUAAAGCACUUUAAGUUGGGAGGAAGGGCAGUAAGCGAAUACCUUGCUGUUUUGACGUUACCGACAGAAUAAGCACCGGCUAACUCUGUGCCAGCAGCCGCGGUAAUACAGAGGGUGCAAGCGUUAAUCGGAAUUACUGGGCGUAAAGCGCGCGUAGGUGGUUCGUUAAGUUGAAUGUGAAAGCCCCGGGCUCAACCUGGGAACUGCAUCCAAAACUGGCGAGCUAGAGUAGGGCAGAGGGUGGUGGAAUUUCCUGUGUAGCGGUGAAAUGCGUAGAUAUAGGAAGGAACACCAGUGGCGAAGGCGACCACCUGGGCUCAUACUGUCACUGAGGUGCGAAAGCGUGGGGAGCAAACAGG
rnacentral:rRNA from 1 species